rnacentral:tRNA from 1 species
UUUAAAAACUAUUAAUCUUCAAAAUUAAAAAAAUAUAUUUUAUAUAAAUUUUAU